UACGUAGGGGGCAAGCGUUGUCCGGAAUCAUUGGGCGUAAAGAGCUCGUAGGCGGCUUGUUGCGUCAGCUGUGAAAACCCGCAGCUCAACUGUGGGCUUGCAGCUGAUACGGGCAGGCUUGAGUUCGGUAGGGGAGACUAGAAUUCCUGGUGUAGCGGUGAAAUGCGCAGAUAUCAGGAGGAACACCGGUGGCGAAGGCGGGUCUCUGGGCCGAUACUGACGCUGAGGAGCGAAAGCGUGGGGAGCGAACAGG
rnacentral:rRNA from 1 species